GUCCGGAAUUACUGGGCGUAAAGAGCUCGUAGGUGGUUUGUCGCGUUGUUCGUGAAAUCUCACGGUUUAACUGUGAGCGUGCGGGCGAUACGGGCAGACUUGAGUACUGCAGGGGAGACUGGAAUUCCUGGUGUAGCGGUGGAAUGCGCAGAUAUCAGGAGGAACACCGGUGGCGAAGGCGGGUCUCUGGGCAGUAACUGACGCUGAGGAGCGAAAGCGUGGGAGCGAACAGGAUUAGAUACCCUGGUAGUCCACGCCGUAAACGGUGGGUACUAGGUGUGGGUUUCCUUCCUUGGGAUCCGUGCCGUAGCUAACGCAUUAAGUACCCCGCCUGGGGAGUACGGCCGCAAGGCUAAAACUCAAAGAAAUUGACGGGGGCCCGCACAAGCGGCGGAGCAUGUGGAUUAAUUCGAUGCAACGCGAAGAACCUUACCUGGGUUUGACAUGCACAGGACGCCGGCAGAGAUGUCGGUUCCCUUGUGGCCUGUGUGCAGGUGGUGCAUGGCUGUCGUCAGCUCGUGUCGUGAGAUGUUGGGUUAAGUCCCGCAACGAGCGCAACCCUUGUCUCAUGUUGCCAGCGGGUAAUGCCGGGGACUCGUGAGAGACUGCCGGGGUCAACUCGGAGGAAGGUGGGGAUGACGUCAAGUCAUCAUGCCCCUUAUGUCCAGGGCUUCACACAUGCUACAAUGGCGGGUACAAAGGGCUGCGAUGCCGCGAGGUUAAGCGAAUCCUUUUAAAGCCGGUCUCAGUUCGGAUCGGGGUCUGCAACUCGACCCCGUGAAGUCGGAGUCGCUAGUAAUCGCAGAUCAGCAACGCUGCGGUGAAUA
rnacentral:rRNA from 1 species